rnacentral:rRNA from 1 species
UGAACAUUGAGCCUUGAUGUGUAGGAUAGGUGGGAGGCUUUGAAGUGUGGACGCCAGUCUGCAUGGAGCCGACCUUGAAAUACCACCCUUUAAUGUUUGAUGUUCUAACGUUGGCCCCUAAUCGGGGUUGCGGACAGUGUCUGGUGGGUAGUUUGACUGGGGCGGUCUCCUCCUAAAGAGUAACGGAGGAGCACGAAGGUUGGCUAAUCCUGGUCGGACAUCAGGAGGUUAGUGCAAUGGCAUAAGCCAGCUUGACUGCGAGCGUGACGGCGCGAGCAGGUGCGAAAGCAGGUCAUAGUGAUCCGGUGGUUCUGAAUGGAAGGGCCAUCGCUCAACGGAUAAAAGGUACUCCGGGGAUAACAGGCUGAUACCGCCCAAGAGUUCAUAUCGACGGCGGUGUUUGGCACCUCGAUGUCGGCUCAUCACAUCCUGGGGCUGAAGUAGGUCCCAAGGGUAUGGCUGUUCGCCAUUUAAAGUGGUACGCGAGCUGGGUUUAGAACGUCGUGAGACAGUUCGGUCCCUAUCUGCCGUGGGCGCUGGAGAACUGAGGGGGGCUGCUCCUAGUACGAGAGGACCGGAGUGGACGCAUCACUGGUGUUCGGGUUGUCAUGCCAAUGGCACUGCCCGGUAGCUAAAUGCGGAAGAGAUAAGUGCUGAAAGCAUCUAAGCACGAAACUUGCCCCGAGAUGAGUUCUCCCUGACUCCCUGAGAGUCCUGAAGGAACGUUGAAGACGACGACGUUGAUAGGCCGGGUGUGUAAGCGCAGCGAUGCGUUGAGCUAACCGGUACUAAUGAACCGUGAG